CCUAUAUUCGUUCAAUUUUACUGUUAAAUGUACGGAGUAUUAGUUCAUGGAUCUGCUCGUGGUUGAUUCUCUGAUGGAAUUACAUUCAGUCAUGCACUCACUGACUGACGAUGCUCUCUUUUCUAUUGGUCCUGCAGUCUCUCAUGAUCGCCGCAGUUCCCAAACAUCAUUGGGUGGCUUGCAAUAUCAUUUGCAAAUGACUCCGUAUUUUUGUUCAUGGGCCGAUUGUUGGAAGGGUUUGGGAUUGGUGUGAUUCCUACACAGUCUGUAUCCCUAUUCUCCUAACCUUGUAAACAAAUUCACUCCAGAGUUCAAACAUGAAUGAUAAUGCGUUUGCUUUCUUACUGUUGUGUUGUUGCUAUGGCCUAUGAUAUGAUUGUUUCCCCUAGCGUAAUCAUAAUCCAACAAUAUUUCUAUCUGUUCGGUCUUUGUACAGAAAAGAACAAGAACACCAAAAUAAUAUCUAGACCAAAGGAACUUAAUUAGCCUAUAAGAAGAACUGAAAAUGCCGACAUUCUGUAAUUUGAGAAAUAUCAUAUAUUACAGCGGUCGGGGUACAGAUAAGUGUGGUUAGAAGUUAGAACAACGAGAUCCAGAUCAAGUGCCUGAUGCCACGCUUCUCCCUGUGAGAUUUAUCUAUUUUUCCUUUAUAGAUGAUGCAUAUAUUUGUAAUCCUCCAUAGACUUUGCCAAAUGUUAGCAUGGUUCCUUUAUGUUAGUUCUUCCUGUACUUGCUGAGGUGAAGGGAUUAUGAUUUACAAAAUGACACUUAUGCCAAGCAUUUAGGAAAGAAUCAGCUUGUAUGAAAUUAUUAGCAUGCACUACUUCUCAAGAAAAUAUUAGUUAGCAAAUGUGGUAUGAUGUGAUAGUCCUCCUGCCAAGCGCCCUCUUCAGAAAAGAGAAAAUAUUCUAUGAUGACAUGCAAUGUGAUUAGUCAUGAAUGGUACAAGGUUCCUAAAUUGACAUGAUAGCGUGUUUAAUUAUUCUUUAGUUGAUCAUGUUACUUAUUGGCGAAUGCUUAAUUUGGACAUAGGUUCCUGGUUUCCUCACUUAUGUUAUGUGAAAAUGUGAGGGAAUCACUGGGGAACCGCCAUUGGGGAUGCGGGAAUCACAUGCCGCCGCCACCUGGACGCGCUAGCCACUGCUACCACAGGGGACACGGGCGCACGUGGCAGCCGCUGCUGCCACAGGAGCCACGGGCUCAAGUGGAAGUCGUCAUUGCCUCAGGUCCUUCGAUCGUGCGGCUGGCUUCGAGGUGCUGGGAGGGGGGGACUCUGUUUGUCAGGAGAAUCUACAGAAACAUCAAAUGCGUAAAUUGCUGCUCAGAUUCUAGGCUAUUAGCAUAGUAAUAUGAUGCUCUCAGGUUCUCAGGCGAUACUCGAGUGUGUAACUCAAUUUGUCAGUUUAGUUGGAGUCCAUGUUAGCCACUUUGUAGUGUGUUCCUCAAUUCCGGUGAAAUAUUUAUUUGCCUGCUCUGCAAUUUUUCUUACCUCCCAGGUCAAUUUUUUGUUCUUACCUCUAAACUCUUCUUCAGAUUGAUUUGGCUAUUUCCCAUCCAUUAUAUGAUAGAUAGAUUGAUGGUUCGCAGACCCAUGACAACCCCUUGGAAUGCCUAUCCUCUCUAUAUUUACAUGCUUAUAGACUUGCAGAAACACGGGCUGGUUGUCUCUGUUUAUCUUUAUACUUAACUUAUAGACUAAAACACAGCUGUGAAGAACAAUGGGUCAUUUUGUCAUGAAGCAUGAGAAUGAUAAUACCACCUCAAGUGGGGAUAACGCAAAAAAAAAGAGGAGUUGUGAUUACUCAAUCUAGACAAAUCUACUCUUCUGUCAGUUACGCAUCUGUAAAAUGAAGAUGAGUGUAGGUGGUCAUUGUACAUCUUAAGGGCCUUUACUGGUUGUAUUUUUCACUCUUAUGUCGGUAAAAUCAAGAUGAGUGUAGGUAGUCAUUGUAUAUCUGAAGGGUCUUUACUGGUUGUAUUCUUUCUUUUUUUCAAUUCACAUGAUCAGUGCUACCUCUUAUGUGUAUUGCUAGGCUACAGUUUGGCUUUUCUAUUUACUGCUACAGUUGGGUUCUAUCUCAAACUACAAAAAACAUGUGUAUCAUGCACAUGAUGGUUGAUGCAAGCCCAUGCUUCUCACAGCUUCAAUUGAAGUUUUUGUGCUACUCUAUUCUUAGUUAUAUUUCUUAUCGAUGUGAGAUUUCAUUACUAGACAUUUACCUAUUAUGCAGUUCUUCAGUGACAGCUGAAUUAGCUGAAGGCGACAAUGAGCAUCAAUUUGUUUUCCUUAGAUGAAGCAUUCUACAUUAAAUUGUAACUUCUUCAGUACAGGUUGCAUGCAAUUUUUUUAUGGUUAGUUCCAGAUUAUCCCCUUUUUGUGUACAUUUAGUAGAUGCUUAUAUGAAUCUAUGCCGUCUUCUCUCUUGCUAAAGUUUACAUUGAAUUCUGUUAAGAUUUCCUAUUCUUUUUUAAUGAUGUACUUACUCAAAGCUUCUCUCUCCUACUAGGCUAAUUUAGGGAGUUUUACUGGAUCAUAUUCGUUAUGUAUCCUUUCGUUUAGACAUUCGUCCAAUUGAAUUUUCUCAUCCACUCUGUUAAGUUAUUCUCAUUGAAUUUGCUGCUCAUGGGUUAACCUGUGCGGAGAUUGCCUUUUAUUUGUCUGUAAUGUGAUGCAUUUAUUUUAAGAAUCCGGUUAAGCUCAUGUUCAGCUCGUGUAAUGAUGUUGCAUCAUUGAU